UACGUAGGGGGCAAGCGUUGUCCGGAUUUAUUGGGCGUAAAGAGCUCGUAGGCGGUUCAGCAAGUCGGGUGUGAAAAAUCUGGGCUCAACCCAGUGGAGCACCCGAUACUGCUGUGACUAGAGUCCGGCAGGGGAGUGUGGAAUUCCUGGUGUAGCGGUGAAAUGCGCAGAUAUCAGGAGGAACACCGACGGCGAAGGCAGCACUCUGGGCCGGUACUGACGCUGAGGAGCGAAAGCGUGGGGAGCGAACAGG
rnacentral:rRNA from 1 species